GAUGAGCUCAAAUUUGAAAUCUGGCGUCUUUCAGGCGUCCGAGUUGUAAUCUAUAGAGGCGUUUUCCGCGCCGGACCGCGUCCAAGUCUCUUGGAAUAGAGUAUCAAAGAGGGUGACAAUCCCGUACUUGACGCGACAACCGGUGCUCUGUGAUACGUUCUCAAUGAGUCGAGUUGUUUGGGAAUGCAGCUCUAAAUGGGUGGUAAAUUCCAUCUAAGGCUAAAUAUUGGCGAGAGACCGAUAGCGAACAAGUACCGUGAGGGAAAGAUGAAAAGCACUUUGGAAAGAGAGUUAAACAGCACGUGAAAUUGUUAAAAGGGAAACGAUUGAAGUCAGUCGUGUGAGGGGUAUUCAGCCGUCUCUGGCGGUGUAUUUGCCUCUCACGGGUCAACAUCAGUUUGAUCCGGUAGAAAAAGGCGGGAGGAAGGUGGCACCCUCGGGUGUGUUAUAGCCUCCUGUCAUAUGUGCCGGACCAGACUGAGGAACGCAGCUUGCAGCAAUGCCGGGAUUCGUCCACGUACAAGCUUAGGA
rnacentral:rRNA from 1 species